AGUGUUCAAAGCACAGUACAAUAUGAAUUCAGUAUCUAGCAUCAUUGUUUUUUUUGGUUCCAUGCAUAUUAAACCAGGUUUUUUUUUGACACACUA